rnacentral:rRNA from 1 species
UACGAAGGAUUCGAGCGUUAUCCGGAUUUAUUGGGUUUAAAGGGUGCGUAGGUGGAUUAGUAAGUCAGUGGUGAAAGCCCGCAGCUAAACUGCGGAACUGCCAUUGAUACUGUUAAUCUUGAGUACAGUUGAGGUGGGCGGAAUGUGUCAUGUAGCGGUGAAAUGCUUAGAUAUGACACAGAACACCGAUUGCGAAGGCAGCUCACUAAGCUGUAACUGACACUGAUGCACGAAAGCGUGGGGAGCAAACAGG